UACGUAGGUGGCGAGCGUUGUCCGGAUUUACUGGGCGUAAAGCGCGCGCAGGCGGUUCUGUAAGUCCUGGGUGAAAUCGCCCGGCUCAACUGGGCGGGGGCCUGGGGGACUGUGGGACUGGAGGGGCCUAGAGGCCGGUGGAACUCCCGGUGUAGUGGUGAAAUGCGUAGAGAUCGGGAAGAACACCAGUGGCGAAGGCGGCCGGCUGGGGGUGCCCUGACGCUGAGGCGCGAGAGCGUGGGGAGCGAACCGG
rnacentral:rRNA from 1 species